CCGCCAUACCAAUCGGACUCACUUAAUCGGCCGCGGCCUGUCCCCAAACCCCGGAACCGACCCAGCGUCCCCCCGCCACCCCAACCCACCACACUGACCAAUGAUAGCAAUGGGAUCUGUGCCACUGCUUACAAGAUGAUGGACCCGGCGGUGUCUUUGAAAGGGCCAAGUCGAGCUCUGGUCCCUGAGCUCGCUGUAGACCAUCAGCCAGUGAUGGUCCUUCCUUCCUCCUGCUCCCUGCCUCCUCCCAAAGGCUGUGACCUGGACAGUGAGAGCACUGUCCUAUAACGAGGAAACAUGCUGUGGUCUAAUGCCCUCUCACACCUCAUUUGGUCUCCUCCUGCAUAUGCCUUGUUUAGAAAGACAGACCUCUACUGUUAUCUCCUCCCUGUCCAGCCUGAAUGAGGGACUCUUCAUGUGACAUAAUGCACCUUCUGGCAGCCAUGAUGGAGAUCACAGAGCUUUUGGUCAACAAUGGCUGCGAUAGUUCAUUGUGUAUUUUAUGGCUGUUGCCACAGAAUCUACUGACUGAGGUUAAUGUGUCUUCAUGCUGCUUAUUUCCCCAGUGAUCCAGCUGAUGAUUUAUGUGUUUAAUUCUCAGCUUUUGACCAGGAAAACCAAUGUGUCUGAUCAGCUAUACUUUGCCUUGUUGAUGCAGACACAUCGGAUUUGCAUCCUGGCUAACGUAUGUGGCACUGACAAGUAAUUCUAGCAGCUAAAUCACACAUUAACAUCACUUAAGUCAGUUGGACUCCAAAGUCAAAAACCCAGACCUGGCUUAUGUCAUAUCUAGAGCUGAAAGGCAAUUAAUUAAAAGAUAAUUAUCUAAUCAUUUUAUUAAACAAAAAUGCUGAAAAUUUGCUGGUUGCUUCUUCUGAAAUGUGAACAUUUACUUCACUUUCACAUACAGUGUAAAUGAACUGACUUCCACUCACGAUGUUUUCAGCCUUUCUGUUAAUGCAGUUAUUGGCUGGUAUUUACUUCCUCAGUCCUCUUGACCUUCAUGAUGGCGCCAGAUGCAGUUGUGACACUUAGCCUUUACACUGCAACAAACACACACACCGCCGCUGCCUCGAUCUUUUUGCUGCACGCCCUGUAGAACAAGCUCCAGACAAUCAGCAGCAAACAGUAACACCAUCAGACAGCUGGGUUAACACAGAUCGAGGCAAGAGUGGGGACAUAAGGAAGAAAGGGGGUCGUAAAGGCCCAAACAUGGACCGAUGAGGUUCACUGGGAAGUUGGUGUGAGGUGCUUUGUAUUUCUUAAUGUUGAAAAAUGGCCUUAAAAUAAGUUUAAAAAAAAAAAAGAAGCAUUUCUGCAGCACGGGGGAGAAGAAAUGAACUAGAAACCAAAACUGUUGCUUAGAGUGUAGCUGUUGACUGCAGGUAUCCAGUCCUCUCAAACACUUGAUUUCCUUCCUCCUGACUUUUGUAUUUAUUGACUGAUUUAGAAACACAUUCCCUGUGGCCUGACAUAAUUAAUGCAGUCUUUAAAUGUAAAUCAUGCCUUAUCGGUUCCUCCCAGAACCAUAUAAUAAGCAGUAUACUGUGUAUUUACUGUACAGAGGGUAGACUUGGCUCCUAGUCCUGCAGUAUUUCUGAAAAGCUGUCUUGGCAGUAGUCGUUUCAGGGAUGUAAGCAAGGUGAUUUGACCCUCUGCAAUAGAAGUUGUGCAUGGUUCUGUAUUGUUCUACAACAUAUUAAUUGUGUUUUGGUUGAUGUCUUUGGGGUUUCUAAGCAGAAGUAGCAGGGUUAACCACCCUCCCAGCCUGUAUGCACGCAGUGUUUUUGCCUUUCUGUUAUUUCCAUCUAUCUCCGCGUUGUUUCUGGUGUUUGCCAGGGCCUUACGCAGGCUGUGUGUCAGUGAAUGUAGCAAAAGGACUGUUUUCACCAGCCUCUGUAUCCUGAACAGAAAGACGCAUGAACAGCUGAUGUUGCCAUGAGCGUUGGCCAGUGAGUGGUUUUCCUACUUUUAAGGGUUUUUUUUUUUUUUUUUUUUUUUUUUAUAUCUUUCCCACUGAGCUGAGAUCACACAGCGCUGUGAAACCUCAGUAGUGAUGUGGUGUUAGAUCUUGCCAGGUCAAAAGAUUUAAGAAUGGCUUUGUUGCUUUCUGUAAGCUUUGCUUUUUUGGCCUCCAGUAUAAUGCAGAGUUUGGUUCCCUGACCCAAUAUGGUACCGAUAGAGAAGGUUUUGGGUGCUGCAGCUGUCCUGAAACUGUGUAGUUUUGUUUUCCAGAGACAAUCAAGUGUUAUAAUCCCCUUUGUCUCUGCUCCUGUACCUCACUGCCUUCUCUCUGUGCAUUAAGAGAGCCUGCUAUCUCAAGGCUCUUUAAAAUGAACAAAGGCCAUUAAACUAUAAAUGAUAAUGCUGCAUUUUUGAGCUCCAUAGUUUUGUAUGUAUGCUGAGCUUAAAUAUGGAAUAUAAACAUGUAAUAUUGAUGCUUGAUUAUAUCCCCUUUCCAAAGAAAAUAAAGUAUAUGAAGAAC